GUGGCCUAAGCUGCACCUUGGGUCUCAGAAAGGCACCGGCACCGGGCCGGUGUGUAUCACACUACACAACACUCAGCGGGCUGCUUUACCAGGAAAAAGGUUACAAGAAAUGAAAUACAGACAUCGGAGCAGCCCGCGCCCCUUACAAGCAGACACGCGGUUUCCAGCCCACGUGACGCUCGCCGGCUGUGGUCCCAAGCUGCUCAGGGUGACGAGCCCAGCUCUGAGCAAACAAGCACAUAAAUGUGAGGGAAGCUGCUGACAUAUUUCUUGGCUACCGGAUCAAAUUAUAUAAUGGCGCUAGAUCUCUCCCGCCGCCCCAGCACACAUGAGACCGUCAGCACCCACACCCACCCGCUCACCUCCCCAGCGCUUGUGGCGCACAACUUGGCAUCAGGCUAUUAGAAAUCACAAUAAUUACUUGCUUUACAAUUGCUCCAAAUGAAAGAGAUCAUUAAAGUGCGCACAUGAAAAGAUGA